rnacentral:rRNA from 1 species
AACGAACGCUGGCGGCAUGCCUAACACAUGCAAGUCGAACGAGACCUUCGGGUCUGGUGGCGCACGGGUGCGUCACGCGUGGGAACCUGCCCUUAGGUUUGGAAUAACACUCUGUAAGGGGUGCUAAUAUCGGAUAAUGUACUCGAAUCAAAGAUUGAUCGUACUUGGGUGGGCAGGGGUUCGUUUAACCAGUUGGUAGGGUAAAAGCCUAUCAAGGCUACGAUCCAUAGCUGGUCUGAGAGGAUGAGCAGCCACUCUGGGAGUGGGACACGGCGCGGACUACUGCAGGAGGCAGCAAUGGGGAAUAUUGCACAAUGGGCGAAGGCCUGAUCCAGCAAGGCCUCGUGAGUGAUUAAGUCCUGAGGGUAGUACAGCUCUUUUACCCGGGAUGAUAAUGACGGUACCGGGAGAAUAAGCACCGGCUAACUCCGUG